AACAUGUUGGAGGUUAUAAGUGUUAACCUCAAGUUCAUCACCUUCUCACUUCACAACACCCAUUUCACUCAAACAUUCUCCUCCUCUCUUCCUUUCGGCCGACCCCAAGCACAACAACCAUCUCCAUCAUUCAAGCUCUUUCAUCCAAUCCACAAGCAUACAUAGGUGUUAAAGUGCAAACAACUAAGCUCGGUGUGUUCGGAAGCUCAAGGACCUCUCUUAUCUUCUUUUAACCACCACAUUUCAUCACUUGAACUCUCCUAGCCUUGAGCUAGUGGAAAUUAGUGGAUCUGGCAGAGUAUGCGUUGUGUCAAGGCUGCGUAGUGAAUAAAGAUGUCAACCGAGUCAUCGAGUUUAGAAGGUGGAUCCCUUUCCUGGAUGGGAUGCGCAAUUCUAAACUUGGGUUUUUAUUUACGUGCUUUUGUUGAGUCAUUGUGAACUCCGUUAAUUAUGUCAUGGUUGUAACUUACUUUAUGUGCCAAUAUUUUCAAACAAUGUCGUUGUGGUAUUUUUUUUAACUUAAUGAAUGGAUAACAUAUUGUGUUUUAUCA